UUUGACCACUUUUUGCAAAAAGGUAGAAACUUUGGCCUUAUGCCAUUGUAUGUUCAAACUUAUUUUCUUAAGUCAAACUUGUAAAUAAACUUAACUAUAUUUGACUUAAACUUUCAAAAAAGCCAAAAAAAGAACUACCUCAUUCAAACCAUUUUAGGCCUUUGUGCCUUUCAAACAUAAAUUUUGUUAAAAUCAACACACUCAUUUUGAAAUUUGUAGCACGAACUAUGAGAUUUUGAUCCCUCAUUUUAAUGUUGGUACGUAGGCACAAGACCGAAG
rnacentral:lncRNA from 1 species